rnacentral:rRNA from 1 species
CACGUAGGGCGCAAGCGUUGUCCGGAAUUAUUGGGCGUAAAGAGCUCGUAGGCGGUCUGUUGCGUCCGCUGUGAAAACCCGGGGCUUAACCCCUGGCUUGCAGUGGAUACGGACAGACUAGAGGUAGGUAGGGGAGAAUGGAAUUCCCGGUGUAGCGGUGAAAUGCGCAGAUAUCAGGAGGAACACCGGUGGCGAAGGCGGGUCUCUGGGCCGAUACUGACGCUGAGGAGCGAAAGCAUGGGUAGCGAACAGG